UGCGUAGAGUGCUGGAGCACCUCUGCCAUGGAGACAGGCUGAGAGAGAUGGAGGUGUUCAGCCUGGAGACAAGAAUGUUACAGUGGCAUGUUAGAGCCCCUUCUAGUACCUAAGGGAGAUCCAAGAAUGCUGGAGAGUGACAAGACAACGGGCAAAUGGCUUCUGAUAGAAAGGAUUAUGACUUCAGCAAAACACAGAAGUAUGAUGUGAUUAGACCUUUUUUGGACACCAGUAUACUGGAUGUAGCCCUGCUUUCCUGGGAAUGCCUGAAGACUUGCCUGUACAUGGGGAGAAGUGAAUGAAUUCCUUGUUUUGCCCAGUUUGCAUG